rnacentral:rRNA from 1 species
GGCGNUCAGGAAAGUCUGGAGUAAAAGGCUAUGGCUCAACCAUAGUGUGCUCUGGAAACUGUNUGACUUGAGUGCAGAAGGGGAGAGUGGAAUUCCAUGUGUAGCGGUGAAAUGCGUAGAUAUAUGGAGGAACACCAGUGGCGAAAGCGGCUCUCUGGUCUGUCACUGACGCUGAGGCUCGAAAGCGUGGGUAGCGAACAGGAUUAGAUACCCUGGUAGUCCACGCCGUAAACGAUGAGUGCUAGGUGUUAGGCCCUUUCCGGGGCUUAGUGCCGGAGCUAACGCAAUAAGCACUCCGCCUGGGGAGUACGACCGCAAGGUUGAAACUCAAAGGAAUUGACGGGGGCCCGCACAAGCGGUGGAGCAUGUGGUUUAAUUCGAAGCAACGCGAAGAACCUUACCAGGUCUUGACAUCCCGAUGCUAUUCUUAGAGAUAGGAAGUUACUUCGGUACAUCGGAGACAGGUGGUGCAUGGUUGUCGUCAGCUCGUGUCGUGAGAUGUUGGGUUAAGUCCCGCAACGAGCGCAACCCUUAUUGUUAGUUGCCAUCAUUAAGUUGGGCACUCUAGCGAGACUGCCGGUAAUAAACCGGAGGAAGGUGGGGAUGACGUCAAAUCAUCAUGCCCCUUAUGACCUGGGCUACACACGUGCUACAAUGGUCGGUACAACGAGUUGCGAGCCGGUGACGGCAAGCUAAUCUCUGAAAGCCGAUCUCAGUUCGGAUUGGAGGCUGCAACUCGCCUCCAUGAAGUCGGAAUCGCUAGUAAUCGCGGAUCAGCACGCCGCGGUGAAUACGUUCCCGGGCCUUGUACACACCGCCCGUCACACCACGAGAGUUUGUAACACCCGAAGUCGGUGAGGUAACCUUUUAGGGGCCAGCCG